rnacentral:rRNA from 1 species
GUGCUUAACACAUGCAAGUCGAACGGUGAACACGGAGCUUGCUCUGUGGGAUCAGUGGCGAACGGGUGAGUAACACGUGAGCAACCUGCCCCUGACUCUGGGAUAAGCGCUGGAAACGGCGUCUAAUACUGGAUAUGUGACGUGACCGCAUGGUCUGCGUCUGGAAAGAAUUUCGGUUGGGGAUGGGCUCGCGGCCUAUCAGCUUGUUGGUGAGGUAAUGGCUCACCAAGGCGUCGACGGGUAGCCGGCCUGAGAGGGUGACCGGCCACACUGGGAC